UUCCUUAAUUCUAAAAUGAAAAAAAAAAAAAAUCAGUCGUGAUAAAAACUCCUACGGAAAAUAAUUGAAAAAGUCAGAUCGACCCGAUCGUAUGGUUUAAGAGUAGCUCCGAUUUAACCCGAUUAUAAACUCUGAUACUCAGAAGAAGAGUGAAAUAGAGACGUUGAAAAUGCAGUAGGGUUUGAGAGAGAGAGAGAGAGAGAUGAAGGCGGUGGCGGGUAUGGUGGUUUCCAAUAAGAUGCAGAAGUCGGUGGUGGUGGCGGUGGACAGGCUGUUCCAUCACAAACUCUGCAACCGAUACGUGAAGAGGACCUCCAAAUUCAUGGCCCACGACGAGCAGAAUCAUUGCAACAUCGGUGAUCGAGUCCGAUUGGAGCCAUCGAGGCCUUUGAGCAAGCGCAAGCAUUGGGUUGUUGCCGAAAUCAUCACGAAAGCACGCAUUUAUGAGCCUAUUUUACCAUUACCACCUUCACCUUAUUCUACUUCUUAAAGGCUUCCUCUUCAACUGCUAUUAUUAUUCCACGAUAAGUAACAUUAGCUCCUCCUUUUUCUUUAUUUUCUUCCUUAUAUAUUUCAUAGCUUAGUUAGUCCUAAUGUAAUCGUAUCAGAUUCAUUAAUUUAGCCAUAAAAUCUAACAAUUGUGAUGCCCGUUUUCCAAAUCCUGAUUUUUUUUGUUAUAAGCAGAUUCCAACUCAUUAUUAAUUUAGGCAACAAAUUGAUGUUUUGGCUGUAAAUCUAAAAUUAGUUAAGGAUGCAAUUCUUUUGCAAACCUCCUGAAAGAUAUAAUAAGUUUGGUGCAUUAAUACUGUGUGUGCAUUUCUUCUCAGAGCUAGAGCUAGAGCUAGAUGCAAUAGUUAAGCUAUAAAAAAUCAUUGCUUCUCAAAGCUUUUGGUUCAAAUGCUAUCUCUACUAGUCUUUGCACUUUAUCUAUUUGUCCUGUUUUGCAUUUUCUUCUUCUUCUUAUGUUAAAGUAAUUUUGUUUGCGUUUCUUGCCAUUACCAACCACAAGACUCACAUAAGUUGCCAUGUCUAAUAUCUGUAUUUUUUUCUGGUUUAGUUCUCUUAUCGUUGACUGCUAAAGUUGCUAGAAAAUGUAACCGAACAUGACAUAAGCCAAGCAUAUGCGAGAAGAAUAUGAAAGCUUUCCAGCAUGUAGAAUCGUGAUUUCACUUUCUUCUGGCAGGUGAAGCUUUUGUGUAGAGCAUCUAAGAGGCCGACAUGACCAGGUUUAGCCAAAGCAAGUUCUUUUAAUUUCUCGAAUAUUUUGUUUGUAUGGGAAUGUACCUUUACUCUAAAACCUAAUUAUGAGGAAUUUAUAUCUCCAAUUCUCUACUGAAUUUUCCCACUGAUACUUUUGAUAAAUUCUUUAUAUAUCAAUGCUUCAUUAAGUAAGGCAUUGAGCUUUGUAUUCUUCAGGAAAUGGUUGGUUGAUUUCUAGAAAAUCUAUAUACAUUUGUAUAUAUUUAUGUA